GUUAUGGCCACUCUAACCCGGUAGGUUGAUCAUCUACGGAGACAGUGUCUGACGGGCAGUUUGACUGGGGCGGUCGCCUCCUAAAGAGUAACGGAGGCGCCCAAAGGUUCCCUCAGAUUGGUUGGAAAUCAAUCGUAGAGUGUAAAGGUAUAAGGGAGCUUGACUGCGAGAGCUACAACUCGAGCAGGGACGAAAGUCGGGCUUAGUGAUCCGGUGGUUCCGUAUGGAAGGGCCAUCGCUCAAC
rnacentral:rRNA from 1 species